rnacentral:rRNA from 1 species
UCAGGACGAACGCUGGCGGCGUGCUUAACACAUGCAAGUCGAGCGGUAAGGCCCUUCGGGGUACACGAGCGGCGAACGGGUGAGUAACACGUGGGUGAUCUGCCCUGCACUUCGGGAUAAGCCUGGGAAACUGGGUCUAAUACCGGAUAUGACCUUCGGCUGCAUGGCUGAGGGUGGAAAGGUUUACUGGUGCAGGAUGGGCCCGCGGCCUAUCAGCUUGUUGGUGGGGUAAUGGCCUACCAAGGCGACGACGGGUAGCCGACCUGAGAGGGUGACCGGCCACACUGGGACUGAGACACGGCCCAGACUCCUACGGGAGGCAGCAGUGGGGAAUAUUGCACAAUGGGCGAAAGCCUGAUGCAGCGACGCCGCGUGAGGGAUGACGGCCUUCGGGUUGUAAACCUCUUUCAGCAGGGACGAAGCGAAAGUGACGGUACCUG